UACGAAGGGGGCUAGCGUUGUUCGGAUUUACUGGGCGUAAAGCGCGCGUAGGCGGAUCGAUCAGUCAGGGGUGAAAUCCCAGGGCUCAACCCUGGAACUGCCUUUGAUACUGUCGAUCUGGAGUAUGGAAGAGGUGAGUGGAAUUCCGAGUGUAGAGGUGAAAUUCGUAGAUAUUCGGAGGAACACCAGUGGCGAAGGCGGCUCACUGGUCCAUUACUGACGCUGAGGUGCGAAAGCGUGGGGAGCAAACAGG
rnacentral:rRNA from 1 species